GAGUUUGAUCCUGGCUCAGAUUGAACGCUGGCGGCAUGCCUUACACAUGCAAGUCGAACGGCAGCAUGGGAGCUUGCUCCUGAUGGCGAGUGGCGAACGGGUGAGUAAUAUAUCGGAACGUACCCUAGAGUGGGGGAUAACGCAGCGAAAGUUGCGCUAAUACCGCAUACGAUCUACGGAUGAAAGUGGGGGAUCGCAAGACCUCAUGCUCAUGGAGCGGCCGAUAUCUGAUUAGCUAGUUGGUGGGGUAAAGGCCUACCAAGGCUUCGAUCAGUAGCUGGUCUGAGAGGACGACCAGCCACACUGGAACUGAGACACGGUCCAGACUCCUACGGGAGGCAGCAGUGGGGAAUUUUGGACAAUGGGCGCAAGCCUGAUCCAGCAAUGCCGCGUGAGUGAAGAAGGCCUUCGGGUUGUAAAGCUCUUUUGUCAGGGAAGAAACGGUGAACUCUAAUACAGUUUGCUAAUGACGGUACCUGAAGAAUAAGCACCGGCUAACUACGUGCCAGCAGCCGCGGUAAUACGUAGGGUGCAAGCGUUAAUCGGAAUUACUGGGCGUAAAGCGUGCGCAGGCGGUUAUGUAAGUCAGAUGUGAAAUCCCCGGGCUCAACCUGGGAAUGGCAUUUGAGACUGCAUGGCUAGAGUGUGUCAGAGGGGGGUAGAAUUCCACGUGUAGCAGUGAAAUGCGUAGAGAUGUGGAGGAAUACCGAUGGCGAAGGCAGCCCCCUGGGAUAACACUGACGCUCAUGCACGAAAGCGUGGGGAGCAAACAGGAUUAGAUACCCUGGUAGUCCACGCCCUAAACGAUGUCUACUAGUUGUCGGGACUUAAUUGUCUUGGUAACGCAGCUAACGCGUGAA
rnacentral:rRNA from 1 species